GGCCCUUGAUUGGUCAUUAGUGGCCCAUUAUCCAUAUGAUUUAUAAAGCAACAUAUUGUUUUUCGGUUGUUUUGACAGGAACUCAUAAUCGCUUGGUCGCUGGUUCAAGUCCAGCAGGGGCCACCA
rnacentral:tRNA from 1 species